rnacentral:rRNA from 1 species
GCAGUAGCCGCGGGAAUACGAAGGGGGCUAGCGUUGUUCGGAUUUACUGGGCGUAAAGCGCACGUAGGCGGAUCGAUCAGUCAGGGGUGAAAUCCCAGAGCUCAACUCUGGAACUGCCUUUGAUACUGUCGAUCUGGAGUAUGGAAGAGGUGAGUGGAAUUCCGAGUGUAGAGGUGAAAUUCGUAGAUAUUCGGAGGAACACCAGUGGCGAAGGCGGCUCACUGGUCCAUUACUGACGCUGAGGUGCGAAAGCGUGGGGAGCAAACAGGAUUAGAUACCCGCGUAGUCCCUGUCUCUUAUAC